GAAACAGGAACGUUGCAUGAUCACUAACACUUCUUACUUUCCGAAGCACCGGCUGGAGUAAAGCAUAUUUGAAGGAGACAACGAGGACUCUCAGUAGUCAUGGAGGGUCACUUUAGCCUGAGAGUUCUGGUCAUCUUUCUCCUGAGCGUCGGUGUUGUCGUCCGUGCAGAUGUUGAAGAUGGUAUUUACGCUCCAAUGGAAACCGCAAAGCUGAAAAAUCUCCAGUAUGAAACUCGCCACCGUAGUUCUCAACCUGCUAACUGGAGGUCGUCAAAGAGCCACAUGCGUGAUGAUGUCGCUAAACGCAAAAGAAAGGUUCACGAGACGGACAACUUGUUGGCAUCAAAGAAGGGGUUAGGUGCCUUAAGCUAAAUAUGGAAUCAGACAGGAGCACAACGCAGAGUAAUAGGUGUAUUGACUUGUACUUGAUUAGUGUUUACGUCCUAACAUACAGUAACCAAGUACACUGCAAUAUUUCUGCUGCUGCAUGUAACCUUCGAUCCUACAGUUGCAAUAGCCCGAUUCUUGAAACAUGUUAAAUUUAGUUUUAUUCCAUUGUUAUUGUAAUUUGAUUUCCUGUCGAGAUGAUUUUGAAUUAACUUCAGAAAUAUUAAACGUCAAAUGCGUAAAUCGCGAUUCCUUUGCGGGGGAAUUUGUUAUUCAAAAGCUGAUUUUUAAUGAGGUGUAUAGAACAAAAAAAAACAAACAUGGCAUUUCCACCGACAGCUGGGGGUUGGCAUUAAAUGGUCCAGACAAUUCGUUACAUCAAUCUGCUCAUUUUUGAAAAAGGUUCUGGAAAGGGACUUACUCAUUCACACCUGCUGUCCUGCAUAUUUAUUAUUCAGUGUUGAUAGCAAUCAGAAUAUAAUUCACGCAGUAAAAUCAAAUGUUAUUUGUUAUGUUAUUAUUCAAUGUCAAACUAAAGCAUUCUUGAAACGAA